rnacentral:rRNA from 1 species
UACAGAGGUCCCAAGCGUUGUUCGGAUUUACUGGGCGUAAAGGGUGCGUAGGUGGUUGGGUAAGUUUGAUGUGAAAUCUCCGGGCUUAACCCGGAAAAUGCAUUGAAUACUAUCCAGCUUGAGGAUUGGAGGGGGGACUGGAAUGCUCGGUGUAGCAGUGAAAUGCGUAGAUAUCGAGCGGAACACCAGUGGCGAAGGCGAGUCCCUAGACAAUUCCUGACACUGAGGCACGAAAGCCAGGGGAGCAAACGGG